AACAUACCUAAAACGUUGCUUCGGCGGGAACAGACGGCCCCGUGAAACGGGCCGCCCCCGCCAGAGGACCCCCUAACUCUGUUGCUAUAUGUAUCUUCUGAGUAAACAAGCAAAUAAAUUAAAACUUUCAACAACGGAUCUCUUGGCUCUGGCAUCGAUGAAGAACGCAGCGAAAUGCGAUAAGUAAUGUGAAUUGCAGAAUUCAGUGAAUCAUCGAAUCUUUGAACGCACAUUGCGCCCGCCAGUAUUCUGGCGGGCAUGCCUGUUCGAGCGUCAUUACAACCCUCAGGCCCCCGGGCCUGGCGUUGGGGAUCGGCGAGGCGCCCCCCUGCGGGCACGCGCCGUCCCCCAAAUACAGUGGCGGUCCCGCCGCAGCUUCCAUUGCGUAGUAGCUAACACCUCGCAACUGGAGAGCGGCGCGGCCAUGCCGUAAAACACCCAACUUCUGAA
rnacentral:misc_RNA from 1 species